rnacentral:rRNA from 1 species
GAUGGACGCUGGCGGCGUGCCUAAUACAUGCAAGUCGAGCGAACGGACGAGAAGCUUGCUUCUCUGAUGUUAGCGGCGGACGGGUGAGUAACACGUGGAUAACCUACCUAUAAGACUGGGAUAACUUCGGGAAACCGGAGCUAAUACCGGAUGAUAUUUUGAACCGCAUGGUUCAAAAGUGAAAGACGGUCUUGCUGUCACUUAUAGAUGGAUCCGCGCUGCAUUAGCUAGUUGGUAAGGUAACGGCUUACCAAGGCAACGAUGCAUAGCCGACCUGAGAGGGUGAUCGGCCACACUGGAACUGAGACACGGUCCAGGCUCCUACGGGAGGCAGCAGUAGGGAAUCUUCCGCAAUGGGCGAAAGCCUGACGGAGCAACGCCGCGUGAGUGAUGAGGGUCUUCGGAUCGUAAAACUCUGUUAUUAGGGAAGAACAUAUGUGUAAGUAACUGUGCACAUCUUGACGGUACCUAAUCAGAAAGCCACGGCUAACUACGUG